rnacentral:rRNA from 1 species
AACGAACGCUGGCGGCAGGCUUAACACAUGCAAGUCGAACGGGUGUAGCAAUACAUCAGUGGCAGACGGGUGAGUAACACGUGGGAACCUUCCUAGGGAUACGGAACAACUCAGGGAAACUUGAGCUAAUACCGUAUACGUCCGUGAGGAGAAAGAUCUAUCGCCCUUAGACGGGCCCGCGUCGGAUUAGCUAGUUGGUGGGGUAACGGCCUACCAAGGCGACGAUCCGUAGCUGAUCUUAGAGGAUGAUCAGCCACACUGGGACUGAGACACGGCCCAGACUCCUACGGGAGGCAGCAGUGGGGAAUCUUGGACAAUGGGCGCAAGCCUGAUCCAGCCAUGCCGCGUGAGUGAAGAAGGUCUUCGGAUUGUAAAGCUCUUUUGCCAGGGACGAUAAUGACGGUACCUGGAGAAUAAGCCCCGGCAAACUUCGUGCCAGCCGCCGCCGUAA